rnacentral:rRNA from 1 species
UACGUAGGGUGCAAGCGUUGUCCGGAAUUAUUGGGCGUAAAGAGCUCGUAGGCGGUUUGUCGCGUCUGCUGUGAAAACUCGGGGCUUAACCCUGGGCCUGCAGUGGGUACGGGCAGACUAGAGUGCGGUAGGGGAGACUGGAAUUCCUGGUGUAGCGGUGAAACGCGCAGAUAUCAGGAGGAACACCGGUGGCGAAGGCGGGUCUCUGGGCCGUAACUGACGCUGAGGAGCGAAAGCGUGGGGAGCGAACAGG